GUGAGGAAUAUUGGUCAAUGGACGAGAGUCUGAACCAGCCAAGUAGCGUGAAGGAUGACUGCCCUAUGGGUUGUAAACUUCUUUUAUAAGGGAAUAAAGUGAGGGACGUGUCCCUUUUUGUAUGUACCUUAUGAAUAAGGAUCGGCUAACUCCGUGCCAGCAGCCGCGGUAAUACGGAGGAUCCGAGCGUUAUCCGGAUUUAUUGGGUUUAAAGGGAGCGUAGGUUGACGUAUAAGUCAGCUGUGAAAGUUUACGGCUCAACCGUGAAAUUGCAGUUGAUACUGUAUGUCUUGAGUGUACAAGAGGUGGGCGGAAUUCGUGGUGUAGCGGUGAAAUGCUUAGAUAUCACGAAGAACUCCAAUUGCGAAGGCAGCUCACUGGGGUACAACUGACACUGAGGCUCGAAAGUGUGGGUAUCAAACAGGAUUAGAUACCCUAGUAGUCC
rnacentral:rRNA from 1 species